rnacentral:rRNA from 1 species
UACGUAGGUGGCAAGCGUUGUCCGGAAUUAUUGGGCGUAAAGCGCGCGCAGGCGGUUUCUUAAGUCUGAUGUGAAAGCCCCCGGCUCAACCGGGGAGGGUCAUUGGAAACUGGGAAACUUGAGUGCAGAAGAGGAAAGUGGAAUUCCAAGUGUAGCGGUGAAAUGCGUAGAGAUUUGGAGGAACACCCGUGGCGAAGGCGGUUCUCUGGGACGGUACUGACGCUGAGACGCGAAAGCGUGGGGAGCGAACAGG